rnacentral:rRNA from 1 species
AGUCGAGGGGCAGCAGGGAAGUAGCUUGCUACUUCUGCUGGCGACCGGCGCACGGGUGCGUAACGCGUAUGCAACCUACCUUUAACAGGGGGAUAAUCCGAAGAAAUUUGGUCUAAUACCCCAUAAUAUUGAUUAAGGCAUCUUGAUCAGUUGAAAGUUCCGACGGUUAAAGAUGGGCAUGCGUUGUAUUAGCUAGUUGGUGAGGUAACGGCUCACCAAGGCUACGAUACAUAGGGGGACUGAGAGGUUUUUCCCCCACACUGGUACUGAGACACGGACCAGACUCCUACGGGAGGCAGCAGUGAGGAAUAUUGGUCAAUGGACGCAAGUCUGAACCAGCCAUGCCGCGUGCAGGAUGAAUGUGCUAUGCAUUGUAAACUGCUUUUGUACGAGGGUAAAAACAGGUACGUGUACCUGGUUGAAAGUAUCGUACGAAUAAGGGUCGGCUAACUCCGUGCCAGCAGCCGCGGUAAUACGGAGGACCCGAGCGUUAUCCGGAUUUAUUGGGUUUAAAGGGUGCGUAGGCGGAUUGGUAAGUUAGAGGUGAAAGCUCAGCGCUUAACGUUGAAACUGCCUCUGAUACUGUCGGUCUAGAGUAUAGUUGCGGAAGGCGGAAUGUGUGGUGUAGCGGUGAAAUGCUUAGAUAUCACACAGAACACCGAUUGCGAAGGCAGCUUUCCAAGCUAUCACUGACGCUGAGGCACGA